GGUCAAGAUGUAAGGACUCUCAGCUCCUUCUCCAGCACCACAUCUGCCUGCAUGCUGCCUUGCUUCCUGCUGUGAUGAUAAUGGACUAAAACCUCUGAAACUGGACAACAACUUGGGAGUGGAUAGCCUAUCCCUGGAGAAGACGGAUUCUCCCUCUAUCAGCAGUCAAUAAUUAUAGCUCUUCAUCUAGGAGCAAGGCCUUGUGAGAUUUGCCUCAUCCAUGUCUAUUGUCAGACAGGAAGCACUAAUCGGAUGAAGUGGAAUGUAUUGUUUAAAAGAGGAAAUCAAUUUGGAAGAAGAACAUGUUGGGGGAAACAUGGUGGAUAUGCUCAUAAUACAUGGUACUCAUGUAUGAAAUCUCAAAGAAUAAAUUAAAAUCCCAAUGAGUUAACUAA